rnacentral:rRNA from 1 species
GACGAACGCUGGCGGUAUGCUUAACACAUGCAAGUCGAACGGACACUUCGUGCUUAGUUGCGGACGUGGGGUGAACAACGGAGAAUCAGCCUUUGGGUUCCGUGCAACCGCUUGAAACAGUGCCUAAUAACAGAGGGGCCGAGAGGGAAAAGGGGAAUUGCCUGAAGAGUAGCUCGCGUCUGGUUAGUUAGUUUGUGAGGGAAAGGCACACCAAGGCAGCUAUCAGUAGCUGGUCUGAGUGGAUGGCCAGCCACAGUGGGACUGAGACACGGCACAGUCUCCUACGGGAGGCAGCAGUGGGGAAUUUUCCGCAAUGGGCGAAAGCCUGACGGAGCAAUACCGCGUGAGGGAAGAAGGCUCUUGGGUUGUACACCUCUUUUCUUAGGGAAGAACAAAAUGACGGUACCUAAGGAAUAAGCAUCGGCUAACUCCGUG